CCACAAGGCCUUUACUGACGCUAAAGCUCGAAGGUGCGGGUAUCGAACAGGAUUAGAUACCCUGGUAGUCCGCACGGUAAACGAUGGAUGCCCGCUGUUUGCGAUAUAGUGUGAGCGGCCAAGAGAAAUCGUUAAGCAUCCCACCUGGGGAGUACGCCGGCAACGGUGAAACUCAAAGGAAUUGACGGGGGCCCGCACAAGCGGAGGAACAUGUGGUUUAAUUCGAUGAUACGCGAGGAACCUUACCCGGGCUUGAACUGCAGGGGAACGAUCCAGAGAUGGUGAGGUCAGCAAUGACCCCUGUGGAGGUGCUGCAUGGUUGUCGUCAGCUCGUGCCGUGAGGUGUCGGCUUAAGUGCCAUAACGAGCGCAACCCCUUUCAUUAGUUGCCAUCACUUCGGGUGGGCACUCUGGUGAUACUGCCACCGUAAGGUGUGAGGAAGGUGGGGAUGACGUCAAAUCAGCACGGCCCUUACGUCCGGGGCUACACACGUGUUACAAUGGGUGAUACAGAGGGCCGGUGCAUGGCAAUGUGCAUCAAAUCUUAAAAGUCAUCCUCAGUUCGGAUUGGGGUCUGCAACCCGACCCCAUGAAGCUGGAU
rnacentral:rRNA from 1 species